GCCCUGAGCUGGGCUCUGCACUGGGCGUAGAGCCUCCUUUUGAAAAAAUAAUAUUAAAUAUAUAUUUGAUCUUCAUUCCCAUUUCUGGCACAGAACUCCUAAAACCCUUAUGUAAUUUUCCUGCGUGACAGGAGGUCUUUUGUUGUGUUAAUGAGGCGACUUUGGGGCUGCUCCUGGGGCUGGCAUGGUUGCCUGGUUGCCGGGAGAACCCAACCUGGGACUGGAGGGUGGAACAUGCAGUCCCACCGGCCCCCCAACCCCAACACUCAGGGAAGGGAGAGAGGCCAGAAGUUGAAUCAAUGACCAGAGGCCAAUGAUUUAAUCAAUCGUGCCUAUGUAAUGAAGCCUCCCUAAAGGAUGGGGUUCAGAGGACUUCCAGGGUGGUGAACUGCAGAUUGGUGGGCGAUCCAUGUGCCACGGAAGCUGCAAGCCUUUCCUCAUGCCACGGCCUCCACGUCCUCUCCCUCUGGCUGUCCCAGAGUUGUUCCCUGCGGUGACCAGAUAAUCUCAGCAGCGCAAAGGGGAAAAUGGUGUGGAAGGGGCUCCAUUGGUGCGUCUGAAGACAUUGGACCAAAGGUGCUGAGUGAUGGUGGGAAGCAUCUGUCCUGCAGGGUCCCGGUGAUGAAGACCAACAGUUGCUGUACUAGGGAAUUCUGAGAAAAGGACAACCUGUCAUAGUCACUUCUCUCUGGUCUCUGUCCCUUCCAGCCUGGCCACAGAAUGAAGAGUUCAGACACAGCUAAGAACUCGUUGUUUGACAUCUGGGCCCUAGGAUCCCAGUCUAGCUGCUCUACGUCCUUGCUGUGAUCUUGUCUGGGUGAAACUGGUGUGAUUCCACCCACAGCAGGGGAGCUCAAAAGAUGAUUGAGCUUUUUUCCACCUGAGAACAGAGCCCCCCACCCUGACCCUCCUGCCAAGCCUCAGCAGAAAUGUCAGGCUUCCUCUCCCUGUCACAGCUGCCCAUAGUACAGGGGCAGUCAGUCCACCACGGCUUGAGGGAUUCCCACAACCCACUUGCCAAAUUCUCAGGCAAGAGAAAUUGCCAACGAAGAGAACAUGUCAUUUGCAGGAAAGAGACCAAGUGGGACAGAAGAUGUGGGGCCCAGGUGAGUUUAUUGAAAAGACACACCCACAGAGAAGCAUCCUGGUGAAAGUUCUGAGCUUCAAGGAUGAACUCUACCCUCAUUAGCCGGAAAGAAUGAGUUACUGACAAAGGAAAGAGAGUGAGGCCAUCCAGCAAUGAACUAUCAACAAUACUGAAGGCUCUGGAAGGCACAUGGAUAUCUACAGGCUAGUAGGAGGAAAGGUGGGUUAUGAUCAGGAAAUCUUGCUUCCAGUCAAAACAUUAUUAGAGGAGGGGUGGGGGGAAGACAUUUUUGGACAUGCAGGGCCUCAGAAAGUACACCAGCCAUGUGUUCUGUCUGAAGAAAGGGGUCAAGAAAACUCCAGAAAAUAACCCCCAUCGGAAAUCUCCGCAUGAGAGAAUUGAAAGAAUUCAAGGAAACAGUGGUGAAUAAGGAACCUUGUGUGAGUCAUGGUCUGAAUGGAUGACGCUAGUGUGGCAUGGAAAAAUGAGAAUUUUUGAAUCAGAUAAGGCUUUUUAGAGGGGGAAUUUCAAUAGCCUUGGCUAAAAUUAGAACUUAUCUCAAAACCUAGGUGUAAGGACGUGAAAGCAAAUGGGGAAGGAAAAGUGGUUUUAAGCUUUGUUGAGGUCCACCAAGGCACAGGGAAGGGCUGCAGAGCCAUUUCAUGGCACACAACCAACAACUUCAAGUUGCCUCCUAGACAAAAAAAGUCUUUGGUUCCGUUCUUCCACGGAGGAAAUCUUAAUGGUAGUAGUAAUAUCCCUCAAUCUCUCUCUCUUGUCUCUCUCUCUCUCUCUGCCUGUGUGUCUCUCUCUCUCUUUCUCUCACCCAGUGGUGUCCUUUCUUUGCCCUCUCAGUUACCCAUCCCUGUUCUUGUUCCUGCCCAUGUUCAUCUUAUUCUUCACACCAGGCAGGUUAGCAACAGAUUGCAAACUUAGCUCCUGGCCCACCUGCUCAAUGCCCAUCAGGAUGCCCAUCAGGAUGCCCAGUUGGACAAAAGGAAGAAUUUCUCCCUUAAAAAUAAAAAGAACUAGCAGAAA